GUAGGGUGCGAGCGUUAAUCGGAAUUACUGGGCGUAAAGCGUGCGCAGGCGGUUUUGUAAGACAGGCGUGAAAUCCCCGAGCUCAACUUGGGAAUGGCGCUUGUGACUGCAAGGCUAGAGUAUGUCAGAGGGGGGUAGAAUUCCACGUGUAGCAGUGAAAUGCGUAGAGAUGUGGAGGAAUACCGAUGGCGAAGGCAGCCCCCUGGGACGUCACUGACGCUCAUGCACGAAAGCGUGGGGGGAGCAAACAGGAUUAGAUACCCUGGUAGUCCACGCCCCUAAACGAUGUCAACUAGUUGUUGGGGAUUCAUUUCUUCAGUAACGUAGCUAACGCGUGAAGUUGACCGCCUGGGAGUACGGUCGCAAGAUUA
rnacentral:rRNA from 1 species